UACGUAGGGUGCAAGCGUUGUCCGGAAUUAUUGGGCGUAAAGAGCUCGUAGGCGGUUUGUCGCGUCGAAUGUGAAAACCCGGGGCUCAACCCCGGGCCUGCAUUCGAUACGGGCAGACUAGAGUUCGGUAGGGGAGUCUGGAAUUCCUGGUGUAGCGGUUAAAUGCGCAGAUAUCAGGAGGAACACCGGUGGCGAAGGCGGGACUCUGGGCCGAUACUGACGCUGAGGAGCGAAAGCGUGGGGAGCGAACAGG
rnacentral:rRNA from 1 species